AUGAACGCUGGCGGCGUGCCUAAUACCUGCCAGUCGAGCGAACAGACGAGGAGCUUGCUCCUCUGACGUUAGCGGCGGACGGGUUAGUAACACGUGGAUAACCUACCUAUAAGACUGGGAUAACUUCGGGAAACCGGAGCUAAUACCGGAUAAUAUAUUGAACCGCAUGGUUCAAUAGUGAAAGACGGUUUUGCUUUCACUUAUAGAUGGAUCCGCGCCGCAUUAGCUAGUUGGUAAGGUAACGGCUUACCAAGGCAACGAUGCGUAGCCGACCUGAGAGGGUGAUCGGCCACACUGGAACUGAGACACGGUCCAGACUCCUACGGGAGGCAGCAGUAGGGAAUCUUCCGCAAUGGGCGAAAGCCUGACGGAGCAACGCCGCGUGAGUGAUGAAGGUCUUCGGAUCGUAAAACUCUGUUAUUAGGGAAGAACAAAUGUGUAAGUAACUAUGCACGUCUUGACGGUACCUAAUCAGAAAGCCACGGCUAACUACGUG
rnacentral:rRNA from 1 species